rnacentral:rRNA from 1 species
UACGUAGGGGGCAAGCGUUGUCCGGAAUUACUGGGCGUAAAGCGCGCGUAGGCGGCUUUGCAAGUCGGGUGUGAAAUCCCCAGGCUUAACCUGGGAACUGCAUUCGAGACUGCAUUGCUAGAGUAUGGGAGAGGGAAGUGGAAUUUCCGGUGUAGCGGUGAAAUGCGUAGAUAUCGGAAGGAACAUCAGUGGCGAAGGCGGCGUCCUGGACCAACACUGACACUGAUGAGCGAAAGCCAGGGGAGCAAACGGG